rnacentral:rRNA from 1 species
AAACCAGCACCUCAAGUGGUCAGGAGGAUUAUUGGGCCUAAAGCAUCCGUAGCCUGUUCUGUAAGUUUUCGGUUAAAUCCAUUAGCUCAACUAAUGGGCCGCCGAAAAUACUGCAUAACUAGGGAGUGGGAGAGGUGGACGGUACUCGGUAGGAAGGGGUAAAAUCCUUUGAUCUAUUGAUGACCACCUGUGGCGAAGGCGGUCUACCAGAACACGUUCGACGGUGAGGGAUGAAAGCUGGGGGAGCAAACCGGAUUAGAAACCCGUGUAGUCC